UCUUAAUUUAUAUAUGUUAUAAUUUUUAUAAAGAUUAUUUUAUUAUUUAUAAUUUUAUAAAUUUUAUUGGGGUAAUAAAAAGAUUAGAGUAAUUCUUUUUUAAUUUUUACAAUUAUUAUUGAUUAUAAGAUCCUCUAUUAGUGAUUAAAAGAUUAAGU
rnacentral:rRNA from 1 species